GUUAAAUUUCAUCUAAAGCUAAAUAUUGGCCAGAGACCGAUAGCGCACAAGUAGAGUGAUCGAAAGAUGAAAAGCACUUUGGAAAGAGAGUUAAACAGUACGUGAAAUUGUUGAAAGGGAAGCGCUUGCAACCAGACUUGCAUGUAGCUGAUCAACCGGUGUUCUCACCGGUGCACUCAGUUGCGUUCAGGCCAGCAUCGGUUUCGACGGUUGGAUAAAGGCCUUGGGAAUGUAGCUCCUUUCGGGGAGUGUUAUAGCCCAGGGUGCAAUGCAGCCUGUCGGGACCGAGGACCGCGCUUCGGCUAGGAUGCUGGCGUAAUGGUUGUAAGCGACCCGUCUUGAAACACGGACCAAGGAGUCUAACAUCUAUGCGAGUGUUUGGGUGUCAAACCCAUACGCGUAAUGAAAGUGAACGGAGGUGAGAACCCUUAAGGGUGCAUCAUCGACCGAUCCUGAUGUCUUCGGAUGGAUUUGAGUAAGAGCAUAGCUGUUGGGACCCGAAAGAUGGUGAACUAUGCCUGAAUAGGGUGAAGCCAGAGGAAACUCUGGUGGAGGCUCGCAGCGGUUCUGACGUGCAAAUCGAUCGUCAAAUUUGGGUAUAGGGCGAAAGACUA
rnacentral:rRNA from 1 species